GAGGGUGUAGCUCAGUGGUAGAGUGUAUGCUUAGCAUGCACGAGGUCCUGGGUUCAAACCCAGUACCUCCA
rnacentral:tRNA from 1 species